rnacentral:rRNA from 1 species
GGGUUGUGAGGUUAAGCGACUAAGCGUACACGGUGGAUGCCCUGGCAGUCAGAGGCGAUGAAGGACGUGCUAAUCUGCGAUAAGCGUCGGUAAGGUGAUAUGAACCGUUAUAACCGGCGAUUUCCGAAUGGGGAAACCCAGUGUGUUUCGACACACUAUCAUUAACUGAAUCCAUAGGUUAAUGAGGCGAACCGGGGGAACUGAAACAUCUAAGUACCCCGAGGAAAAGAAAUCAACCGAGAUUCCCCCAGUAGCGGCGAGCGAACGGGGAGCAGCCCAGAGCCUGAAUCAGUGUGUGUGUUAGUGGAAGCGUCUGGAAAGGCGCGCGAUACAGGGUGACAGCCCCGUACACAAAAAUGCACAUGCUGUGAGCUCGAUGAGUAGGGCGGGACACGUGGUAUCCUGUCUGAAUAUGGGGGGACCAUCCUCCAAGGCUAAAUACUCCUGACUGACCGAUAGUGAACCAGUACCGUGAGGGAAAGGCGAAAAGAACCCCGGCGAGGGGAGUGAAAAAGAACCUGAAACCGUGUACGUACAAGCAGUGGGAGCUGUGACUGCGUACCUUUUGUAUAAUGGGUCAGCGACUUAUAUUCUGUAGCAAGGUUAACCGAAUAGGGGAGCCGAAGGGAAACCGAGUCUUAACUGGGCGUUAAGUUGCAGGGUAUAGACCCGAAACCCGGUGAUCUAGCCAUGGGCAGGUUGAAGGUUGGGUAACACUAACUGGAGGACCGAACCGACUAAUGUUGAAAAAUUAGCGGAUGACUUGUGGCUGGGGGUGAAAGGCCAAUCAAACCGGGAGAUAGCUGGUUCUCCCCGAAAGCUAUUUAGGUAGCGCCUCGUGAAUUCAUCUCCGGGGGUAGAGCACUGUUUCGGCAAGGGGGUCAUCCCGACUUACCAACCCGAUGCAAACUGCGAAUACCGGAGAAUGUUAUCACGGGAGACACACGGCGGGUGCUAACGUCCGUCGUGAAGAGGGAAACAACCCAGACCGCCAGCUAAGGUCCCAAAGUCAUGGUUAAGUGGGAAACGAUGUGGGAAGGCCCAGACAGCCAGGAUGUUGGCUUAGAAGCAGCCAUCAUUUAAAGAAAGCGUAAUAGCUCACUGGUCGAGUCGGCCUGCGCGGAAGAUGUAACGGGGCUAAACCAUGCACCGAAGCUGCGGCAGCGACUGUUGUUGGGUAGGGGAGCGUUCUGUAAGCCUGUGAAGGUGUACUGUGAGGUAUGCUGGAGGUAUCAGAAGUGCGAAUGCUGACAUAAGUAACGAUAAAGCGGGUGAAAAGCCCGCUCGCCGGAAGACCAAGGGUUCCUGUCCAACGUUAAUCGGGGCAGGGUGAGUCGACCCCUAAGGCGAGGCCGAAAGGCGUAGUCGAUGGGAAACAGGUUAAUAUUCCUGUACUUGGUGUUACUGCGAAGGGGGGACGGAGAAGGCUAUGUUGGCCGGGCGACGGUUGUCCCGGUUUAAGCGUGUAGGCUGGUUUUCCAGGCAAAUCCGGAAAAUCAAGGCUGAGGCGUGAUGACGAGGCACUACGGUGCUGAAGCAACAAAUGCCCUGCUUCCAGGAAAAGCCUCUAAGCAUCAGGUAACAUCAAAUCGUACCCCAAACCGACACAGGUGGUCAGGUAGAGAAUACCAAGGCGCUUGAGAGAACUCGGGUGAAGGAACUAGGCAAAAUGGUGCCGUAACUUCGGGAGAAGGCACGCUGAUAUGUAGGUGAAG